rnacentral:lncRNA from 1 species
GGCUGCCACCAAUUGGGUCGUCUUGAGUGUGGGUCCGGUGUCCCUAGUGACAGAUCUUAGGAUUUGGGUACAAGGCAUUAGAUCCAUCGACUUCAAACUUCUUCGUCUCCAUUAUCUUCCCCGAGAAUGAAUACUGGAGCUUCAGCCGAUCAGGCGGUAAACACCGUUACUUCGCCGUUGGCGGCCUUGGCGCUUGCACCAGCGCCUACGGUCGCUUCGCCCGAUCAGCCUUCUGGGUCUCAACCUCGGGCUGUCCCUAUUCCUACUGCCGUAGAUCCGGCACCGCUUCCUUCGCCGGUCAACGGUGACACUACAAUGUCCGAUUCACAGCCGGGCACUGUUACUCUGUGCCUGCACCCCUUCGAUCCUCCGCAGCCCGACAGACGUCGCCUUGUUUCAGUGGACGCUGCGGCCAAGGUGCAAUUGAGUUUGCCCGACUACAUUUCUUUCCUGGUCGACGAUUUGGUUGGCUACCUCGACUUGGCAGGCUAUACUCUUUCUGAUUCGGCUGCCACCAAUUGGGUCGUCUUGAGUGUGGGUCCAGCGUCCCUAGUGACAGAUCUUAGGAUUUGGGUACAAGGCAUUAGAUCCAUCGACUUCAAACUUCUUCAUCUCCAUUAUCUUCCCCGAGAAUGAAUACUGGAGCUUCAGCCGAUCAGGCAGUAAACACCGUUACUUCACCGUUGGCGGCCUUGGUGCUUGCACAGGCGCCUACGGUCGCUUCGCCCGAUCAGCCUGUCUCAACCUCGGGCUGUCUCAGCCUUCUGGGUCUCAACCUCGGGCUGUCCCUAUUCCUACUGCCGUGGAUCCGGCACCGCUUCCUUCGCCGGUCAACGGUGACACUACAAUGUCCGAUUCACAGCCGGGCACUGUUACUCGGCACCUGCACCCCUUCGAUCCUCCGCAGCCCGACAGACGUCGCCUUGUUUCAGUGGACGCUGCGGCAAAGGUGCAAUUGAGUUUGCCCGACUACAUUUCUUUCCUGGUCGACGAUUUGGUUGGCUACCUCGACUUGGCAGGCUAUACUCUUUCUGAUUCGGCUGCCACCAAUUGGGUCGUCUUGAGUGUGGGUCCGGCGUCCCUAGUGACAGAUCUUAGGAUUUGGGUACAAGGCAUUAGAUCCAUCGACUUCAAACUUCUUCGUCUCCAUUAUCUUCCCCGAGAAUGAAUACUGGAGCUUCAGCCGAUCAGGCGGUAAACACCGUUACUUCGCCGUUGGCGGCCUUGGCACUUGCACCGGCGCCUACGGUCGCUUCGCCCGAUCAGCCUUCUGGGUCUCAACCUCGGGCUGUCCCUAUUCCUACUGCCGUGGAUCCGGCACCGCUUCCUUUUAUUCCGCUUUUUUUUCCUUUGCCGGUCAACGGUGACACUACAAUGUCCGAUUCACAGCCGGGCACUGUUACUCGGCGCCUGCACCCCCUCAUUC